ensembl:antisense Gm15726 predicted gene 15726
AUCAUCUCCUUUCUGUGUUGAGGUCCCUUCACCCAGCUCAUCUGAAAACAGUCGUCGAACGCGGAAGGGAAUCAGCCGAGAGAUACUCACUGACAACAUUGGCUUGUCCGGUGAAUAUGGUGUACUGGAGCUCGUAGGAGACCACGCUGAACUCGUCCUCUGAGGUCCAGUGGACGGUGAUGGUGUCGUAGGAAGCGGUGCAGAGCUCUUCUCUAAUCGCGGGAGGGUUGGGAGCUGUGGACAUCACACGCAUGUCAGCGGAGCAGCAGAUACCAUUAGGACGACAAUUUGGAGGUUUUUCCUCUGAGGCUAUUUGGAGAUUAACGGUGAUGUUUAAGGACAAGAAGAAUAACCUAAACAGUAGAUGUCGAUGUAACAGAAAUUGAGAGCAUACUGUAGAACUGCCACGAUCUUCUCGAGUGGACUUCCAUGUAGAGCGUACUUUUCAUUACAGGUCUGCGUCCUCUUCUGCAAAACGAAUCUUACCGGAAAUUAGAUAAUGCUGCUGA